rnacentral:lncRNA from 1 species
AAUUCGUCAAGUGCCCCAGCCAGGGGGCUUUCAUUGGGGACCCCUUUGGUCUGCUUGUAAAAUUUACCAUUGAAUUGGAAGUAUGAUCCAUGACAUAGGACAUCAGCUACUUCUCUAUAGAGGCUUGCCAUUUGCUCUGGCUCUGGGGCUCUCUCUAGAAAACAUCGGUACAGGCAGAUGCAUACUGGUUCUAUGCAGAGUGAAGGGUACAAUUUUUCGAAAUCAUAUGUGGCCAAUAUUUCUUCUCCUUCGAGGUGCAAGUUUCUUAUUUCUUUCAGAGAGGAUUUGGGUGAAUCUACCUAUAUGGAC